GUUUUGUUUAAACCGAAAAAAUAUUGACUGACUUUAGAUUUUUCUUUGGAAUAUGUGUUUUUUUGGAGAGCCCUCUUUUAUAGUGAAUUUUGUUGGCGCAUGUAUGAUUGUUUAGUUUUUACUUUUUUGGUAAUGCUUUGUGUUUUAUACAUUUAAAACAGAUAUAUAUUUGGCUUAUGGA
rnacentral:rRNA from 1 species